GAUGAACGCUGGCGGCGUGCCUAACACAUGCAAGUCGAACGAAGCACAUACGACGGAACUCUUCGGAGGGAAGAUGUAUGUGACUGAGUGGCGGACGGGUGAGUAACGCGUGGGUAACCUGCCCUAUACAGGGGGACAACAGUUGGAAACGACUGCUAAUACCGCAUAAGACCACGCUAUCGCAUGAUAGAGAGGUCAAAGAUUUAUCGCUGAUAGAUGGGCUCGCGUCCCAUUAGGUAGUUGGUGAGGUAAUGGCCCACCAAGCCGACGAUGGGUAGCCGACCUGAGAGGGUGAUCGGCCACAUUGGAACUGAGACACGGUCCAAACUCCUACGGGAGGCAGCAGUAGGGAAUAUUGGGCAAUGGGGGCAACCCUGACCCAGCAACGCCGCGUGAGGGAAGAAGGUUCUCUGGAUUGUAAACCUCUGUUGUUGAGGAAGAUAAUGACGGUACUCAACAAGGAAGUGACGGCUAACUACGUGCCAGCAGCCGACGG
rnacentral:rRNA from 1 species